AACUGCUGCUAAUACCCAAUAGGCUGAAAAGUGAAAGAUUAAUUGCCUGAAGAGAAGCUCGCGUCUGAUUAGCUAGUUGGUAGGGUAAGAGCCUACCAAGGCGACGAUCAGUAGCUGGUCUGAGAGGAUGAGCAGCCACACUGGGACUGAGACACGGCCCAGACUCCUACGGGAGGCAGCAGUGGGGAAUUUUCCGCAAUGGGCGAAAGCCUGACGGAGCAACGCCGCGUGAGGGAGGAAGGCUCUUGGGUUGUAAACCUCUUUUCUCUAGGAAGAAGCAAGUGACGGUACUAGAGGAAUCAGCAUCGGCUAACUCCGUGCCAGCAGCCGCGGUAAUACGGAGGAUGCAAGCGUUAUCCGGAAUUAUUGGGCGUAAAGCGUCCGCAGGUGGUACUUCAAGUCUUUUGUCAAAGAGCGUAGCUUAACUACGUAAAGGCGGAGGAAACUGAAGAACUAGAGGCCGGUAGGGGUAGCGGGAAUUCCCAGUGUAGCGGUGAAAUGCGUAGAGAUUGGGAAGAACAUCGGUGGCGAAAGCGCGCUACUGGGCUGGACCUGACACUGAGGGACGAAAGCUAGGGGAGCGAAAGGGAUUAAUCC
rnacentral:rRNA from 1 species